rnacentral:lncRNA from 1 species
GUAUAGUUUCAGAGGGCAGGGUGUCAGUAGUCCAGGGUGAUCAAGUGGCCAGGUGUGAUCAGUAGUUCAGAGUGCAGGGUGAUCAGUAGUUCAGAGGGCAGGGUGAUCAGUAGUUCAGAGGGCAGGGUGAUCAGUAGUUCAGAGGGCAGGGUGAUCAGUAGUUCAGAGAGCCGGGUGAUCAAUAGUAGAGAGCAGGGUGAUCAAUAG